GCCUACGGGAGGCAGCAGUGGGGGAUAUUGCACAAUGGGGGGAACCCUGAUGCAGCGACGCCGCGUGGGUGAAGAAACGCCUCGGCGCGUAAAGCCCUGUCAGCAGGGAAUAGAAAAGAAGGUACCUGAAAAAGAAGCCCCGGCUAACUACGUGCCAGCAGCCGCGGUAAUACGUAGGGGGCAAGCGUUAUCCGGAUUUACUGGGUGUAAAGGGAGCGUAGACGGAAAGGCAAGUCAGGAGUGAAAGCCCAAGGCUCAACCAUGGGACUGCUUUUGAAACUGUCAAACUAGAGUACGGCAGAGGU
rnacentral:rRNA from 1 species